rnacentral:rRNA from 1 species
AACGAACGCUGGCGGCGUGGAUUAGGCAUGCAAGUCGAACGCGAAAGAGGGGGAAACCCCUUUAGUAGAGUGGCGAACGGGUGAGUAACGCGUGAAGAACCUGCCUUCAACAGGGGGAUAACACUCCCAACGGGGUGCUAAUACCGCAUGAGACCACGGAGCUGCAUGGCUCUGAGGUCAAAGGUGGCCUCUAUUUAUAAGCUACCGGGUUGAAGAUGGCUUCGCGUCCCAUUAGCAGUUGGCGGUGUAAAAGACCACCAAGGCGACGAUGGGUAGCUGGUCUGAGAGGAUGACCAGCCACAUUGGGACUGAGACACGGCCCAGACUCCUACGGGAGGCAGCAGUGGGGAAUCUUGCGCAAUGGGCGAAAAGCCUGACGCAGCGACGCCGCGUGUGGGAUGAAGGUCUUCGGAUUUGUAAACCACUGUCGGGAGGGACGAAUGCCCUGC